GUGCCAGCAGCCGCGGUAAUACAGAGGGUGCGAGCGUUAAUCGGAAUUACUGGGCGUAAAGGGCGCGUAGGCGGUGAGAUGUGUGUGAUGUGAAAGCCCCGGGCUUAACCUGGGAAGUGCAUCGCAAACUAUCUGACUGGAGUAUAUGAGAGGGUGGCGGAAUUUCCGGUGUAGCGGUGAAAUGCGUAGAGAUCGGAAGGAACGUCAAUGGCGAAGGCAGCCACCUGGCAUAAUACUGACGCUGAAGCGCGAAAGCGUGGGGAGCGAACAGGAUUAGAUACCCCGGUAGUCC
rnacentral:rRNA from 1 species